UACGUAGGGGGCAAGCGUUGUCCGGAUUUAUUGGGCGUAAAGAGCGUGUAGGCGGCCAGGUAGGUCUGCUGUGAAAUCCCGAGGCUCAACCUCGGGUCUGCAGUCGAUACGAGCAAACUAGAGUGUUGCAGGGGAGACUGGAAUUCCUGGUGUAGCGGUGAAAUGCGCAGAUAUCAGGAGGAACACCGGUGGCGAAGGCGGGUCUCUGGGCCGAAACUGACGCUGAGGAGCGAAAGCGUGGGGAGCAAACAGG
rnacentral:rRNA from 1 species